rnacentral:rRNA from 1 species
UACAGAGGUCUCAAGCGUUGUUCGGAUUCAUUGGGCGUAAAGGGUGUGUAGGUGGCGCGCUAAGUCGGGUGUGAAAUUUCGGAGCUUAACUCCGAAACUGCAUUCGAUACUGGCGUGCUUGAGGACUGGAGAGGAGACUGGAAUUCAUGGUGUAGCAGUGAAAUGCGUAGAGAUCAUGAGGAAGGCCAGUGGCGAAGGCGAGUCUCUGGACAGUAACUGACGCUGAGGCACGAAGGCCAGGGGAGCAAACGGG